rnacentral:rRNA from 1 species
CACGUAGGGUGCGAGCGUUGUCCGGAAUUAUUGGGCGUAAAGAGCUCGUAGGCGGUGUGUCGCGUCGGCCGUGAAAACCUGCAGCUUAACUGUGGGCUUGCGGUCGAUACGGGCAUCACUGGAGUUCGGCAGGGGAGACUGGAAUUCCUGGUGUAGCGGUGAAAUGCGCAGAUAGUCAGGAGGAACACCGGUGGCGAAGGCGGCAUCCUGGACCGGCAUU